GGUAGUAGCAAAUACUCAAGAGAGAACUUUGAGGUCUGAAGUGGAGAAGGGUUCCAUGUGAAUAGCAGUUGAACAUGGGUCAGUCGGUCCUAAGGGAAACGACAUGUUCUUUCCUUCCGUAGCGGGAGCACUUUUUUGCAGUGGAGAGAGCCCCGCAGUGACCAAAAGGGAAUCGGGUUAAUAAUCCCGAACCCGGACAUGGAGAUUGGUCCUUCGGGGCCCAGUGCGGUAACGCAGACCACCUCGGAGACGUCGAUGCGAGCCCUCGGAAGAGUUUUCAUUUCUCUGUAAGGAGAUCGAGUCCCUGCAAUGGGUUCUCCUCGAGAUAGGGAUGGUGGCUCCGUAAAGCAUUGCGGCUCUUGCGCUGUCUGGUGCAGUCGCGUCGGCCCUUGAAAAUCCGAGUGAGAGAGUGUGAUUUUCGUGCCGGACCGUACCCUCGUCCGCAGCAGGUCUCCAAGGUGAACAGCCUCUAGUC
rnacentral:rRNA from 1 species